rnacentral:rRNA from 1 species
UACGUAGGGCGCAAGCGUUAUCCGGAAUUAUUGGGCGUAAAGAGCUCGUAGGCGGUUUGUCGCGUCUGCCGUGAAAGUCCGGGGCUCAACUCCGGAUCUGCGGUGGGUACGGGCAGACUAGAGUGAUGUAGGGGAGACUGGAAUUCCUGGUGUAGCGGUGAAAUGCGCAGAUAUCGGGAGGAACACCGGUGGCGAAGGCGGAUCUCUGGGCCAUUACUGACGCUGAGGAGCGAAAGCGUGGGGAGCGAACAGG